GACGAACGCUGGCGGCGUGCUUAACACAUGCAAGUCGAACGGAAAGGCCCGGCUUUUGCGGGGUGCUCGAGUGGCGAACGGGUGAGUAACACGUGAGUAACCUGCCCUUGACUGUGGGAUAACUUCAGGAAACUGGGGCUAAUACCGGAUAGGAGCUCUUGCAGCAUGGUGGGGGUUGGAAAGUUUCGGCGGUUGGGGAUGGACUCGCGGCUUAUCAGCUUGUUGGUGGGGUAGUGGCUUACCAAGGCUUUGACGGGUAGCCGGCCUGAGAGGGUGACCGGCGACAUUGCGACUGAGAUACGGCGCAGACUCCUACGGGAGGCAACAGUGGGGAAUAUUGCACAAUGGGCGGAAGCCUGAUGCAGCAGCGCCGCGUGCGGGAUGACGGCCUUCGGGUUGUGAACCGCUUUCGCCUGUGACGAAGCGUGAGUGACGGUAAUGGGUAAAGAAGCACCGGCUAACUACGUG
rnacentral:rRNA from 1 species